rnacentral:piRNA from 1 species
UGGGUUAUAACGGAAGCAACGUGGCAGUGC